GCUUAUGUGGCACCCUAUUUAAUGUGCAUGACACUCUCAUAAAAUAUGUAUUGAGACUGGCCUAACAAUAUGCUCCAAGUAACUAGAAGUUAUCAACAGAUGCCUGAAGCAAUAGAAUAUGCAUGCCUCAUACUUUAAUCCGAUCCUAAUAAAGCCAACUAUAAAGAAGUGGCAAAUUGAGGAAGUGGGCGCUAUAUAUACUACGCAACUAAACUGCGAGCAACACUCAAGCAAUCCAUCAUCACUCCAAGAAAAUAGGAGACAAGUUCAAGUUGGUAUUUUAUAUACAGGAGUACGUUGUUAACAAUGGCCGCAGGAAUUAUAGAUAAUUACUAGUAGUGUACAAAUUAAGCGACGAUCCAAGCAUUGUACUCCGUACGACUGUGUUGUAUAUAUGCAUAUAUAUCAUAUCAGGAGCGAGAAUCUCGGUAGCCAGCUUGGCGUUUUGCAAAGAUCGAUCGAGCAGCCACUGACACUUCUUAAUCCGGCAAUGAGGCUAUUUGUGGAUGAAGAGAGUAUACAAAUAAUAUACUCUCUUUGUGUUAAAUUAACUAUUAUUUUGUAUUUUCGUGCUCUAAGUUUAACUUGAUUUAUAAAAUAUAUAUAUAAUAUUUAUAUCUUUAAAUAAAAUUAUUAAAAAUUAGAUUUAAAAAUCUUUCCAACGAUAAUAAUUAUAUAUCAUAAAUAUUAAUAUAUUUUAAUAUAUAUUUAAUCAAAGUUGGUUUUUAAGAAACGCAAAUGAUAUUUUGUUUUAGGAAGAGUAGUACACUAGCUGUCAAAGUACGACAUCGUCGUCAGAUGCAAUGCAGCAAAUCGUGAUCGCAUUCUUGAUUCUUCCAGCCCAUAAAAAUACAUGCAACUUGGGCAUGCAUGUGAGUGUGAGCAUAUCUGAUCGAUUAUCUAGAGACAACUAUUACAAGUGGACUACUACUGCAUGGCGCCGCCGGUAGAGGACACAAAAACCAAGGCCAUAUUUAAAUGUAGAUAGGAAAAAACUAUUGUAUAGUUUAGUUGUAAAGGCAAGACAAAUCUUUGAAGACUAAUUAGUCUAUAAUUAGCUAUAAUUACUACAGUAAACUAAUUCAUAUGUGCUAAUAAUAGAUUUAUUAAAUUUAAUCUUACAGUUUUCAUGUGAGCUAUACAAAUUAUUUUUUAAUUAAUCUAUGUUUAAUACUUCAAAUGUAUGUUGAUAUAUCCGAUGUAAUGUUUAAAAUUUUUCUUUUCGCAUACUAAACAAGAGGCAGUAAAGUACUAGUGCAUAUAAACAAGAAAAAGAUAAUUCGCAAAAAAAAAAAGGAAAAGAACGAAACAAAAGGAUCGACAAAAGUUCGGGUAUAUAUAUCAGGUAUGGCCAUCAAAAGGUUGUCCAACAGGUUACCGAGCUCUAAGGCCAAUCUCAAUGGUCUAUUUUAAUGCACUGUUUCCAAAACAAAUCUGUUGACAGAGCACUAAUGAAACUAACAAUGAAACAACCUCCACAAUGCAUGAGUUUCACCUUGAUGUUUCCUAGGCUGGACAA
rnacentral:lncRNA from 1 species